rnacentral:lncRNA from 1 species
CAUUAUCAUUUUAGGACCUAAGUUGGAAUACUAUCUAUAGUGGUGCUAUUAGUGUUUUAGUCUUUGGAUUGAGAAAUAUGCGGUUAGGAUGAUGUGGGCCCCCUACGGUUGAAUGGGUGGUUGGUUGAAUAGUAUAAUCUAAUAGAUAAAAAUAAUCAAAGAAUUAAAUCUAACGGUGGAAAACUCGAUAACACCAAGUUCUUGAUGCUAUCGAUAGUAUCCCAGCCGGACUCAUCAUUUUAGUACUAUACUAUUAAAAAAAUGGGAAAACUUCAAAAACCCCCCUUGUGGUCUUAAUUUUUUUCACUUUAGUACCCUGUGGUUUAAAAUGUAUCAAGUUAGUACAUUGUGGUUUCUCACUUUAUCACUUUAGUACCCUGUGGUUUAAAGUGUAUCAAGUUAGUACCAUGUGGUUUUGCAUUUUAUCACUUUAGUACCCUGUGGUUUUGAUUUUGUAUCAAAUUAGUACCCUGUGGUUUUUUAAACUAUAGGGUACUAAAGUGAUAAAGUGUGAAACCACAUGGUACUAAAGUGAUAAAGUGCAAAACCACAGGGUACUAACUUGAUACACUUUAAACCACAGGAUACUAAAGUGAUAAAGUGAGAAACCACAGGGUACUAACUUGAUACACUUUAAACCACAGGGUACUAAAGUGAUAAAGUGAGAAACCACAGGGUACUAACUUGAUACACUUUAAACCACAGGGUACAAAAAUGAAAAAGUGUGGAACCACAGAGGGGGUUUUUGAAGUUUUCCCUAAAAAAAUAUUCAAAUUAUAAACAA